rnacentral:rRNA from 1 species
GACGAACGCUGGCGGCGUGCUUAACACAUGCAAGUCGAACGGAAAGGCCCUGCUUUUGUGGGGUGCUCGAGUGGCGAACGGGUGAGUAACACGUGAGUAACCUGCCCUUGACUUUGGGAUAACUUCAGGAAACUGGGGCUAAUACCGGAUAGGAGCUCCUGCUGCAUGGUGGGGGUUGGAAAGUUUCGGCGGUUGGGGAUGGACGCGCGGCUUAUCAGCUUGUUGGUGGGGUAGUGGCUUACCAAGGCUUUGACGGGUAGCCGGCCUGAGAGGGUGGCCGGCGACAUUGGGACUGAGAUACGGCCCAGACUCCUACGGGAGGCAGCAGUGGGGAGUAUUGCACAAUGGGCGGAAGCCUGAUGCAGCAACGCCGCGUGCGGGAUGACGGCCUUCGGGUUGUAAACCGCUUUCGCCUGUGACGAAGCGUGAGUGACGGUAAUGGGUAAAGAAGCACCGGCUAACUACGUG